rnacentral:rRNA from 1 species
AACGAACGCUGGCGGCGUGCCUAACACAUGCAAGUCGUGCGAGAAAGUUUCCUUCGGGAGACGAGUACAGCGGCGAAAGGGUGAGUAACACGUGGGUAACCUGCCCCAGGGAUCGGGCUAACGCGCCGACAGGUGCGCUAAUACCGGCUAAGACCACGCUGACUACGUCAGUGCGGUAAAAGAUGGCCUCUACUUGUACGCUCUCACCCCGGGAUGGGCCCGCGGCCUAUUAGCUAGUUGGUAGGGUAAUGGCCUACCAAGGCUCCGCUGGGUAGCCGGCCUGAGAGGGUGUACGGCCACACUGGAACUGAGACACGGUCCAGACUCCUACGGGAGGCAGCAGUGGGGAAUUUUGCGCAAUGGGGGAAACCCUGACGCAGCAGCGCCGCGUGAGUGAUGAAGGCCUUCGGGUCGUAAACUGCUUUUGUACGGAACGAAAAGCUUCGGGUUAAUACCCUGGAGUCAUGACGGUACCGUAAGAAUAAGCACCGGCUAACUACGUGCCAGCAGCCGCCGUAAGAC